AUGCAGCCUUCCAGUAUACGCUUUUACCAGAAUUCUAGUAGUCAGCACCUCAAACAAGCUCGCUACUUGACCUAAACUUGCCCUCAAAUCCGAAGUCAAGGUACCUAUCAUGCUCAUGCCGGAUGUGUUGAGGCUGCAAGCGAGAUCCUUGGAACUCCUUGUUUUCCUUUUAAUAUU